rnacentral:rRNA from 1 species
UACGGGGGGGGCAAGCGUUGUUCGGAAUUACUGGGCGUAAAGGGCUCGUAGGCGGCCAACUAAGUCAUACGUGAAAUCCCUCGGCUUAACCGGGGAACUGCGUCCGAUACUGGCAGGCUUGAAUUCGGGAGAGGGAUGUGGAAUUCCAGGUGUAGCGGUGAAAUGCGUAGAUAUCUGGAGGAACACCGGUGGCGAAGGCGGCAUCCUGGACCGAGAUUGACGCUGAUGCGCGAAAGCCAGGGGAGCAAACGGG